rnacentral:rRNA from 1 species
GACGAACGCUGGCGGCGUGCUUAACACAUGCAAGUCGAACGGAAAGGCCCUGCUUUUGUGGGGUGCUCGAGUGGCGAACGGGUGAGUAACACGUGAGUAUCCUGCCCUGGACUUUGGGAUAACUUCAGGAAAGUGCGGCUACUACCGGAUAGGAGCUCCUGCUGCAUGGGGGGGGUUGGACAGUUUCGGCGGAUGGGGAUGGACUCGCGGCUUAUCAGCUUGUGGGUGGAGUAGUCGCUUACCAAGCCUUUGACGGGUAGCCGGCCUGAGAGGUUGGCCGGCGACAAUGGGACUGAGAUACGGCCCAGACUGCUACGGGAGACAGCAGGGGGGAAUAUUGCACAAUGGGCGGAAGCCUGAUGCAGCAACGCCGCGUGCGGGAUGACGGCCUUCGGGUUAUAAACCGCUUUCGCCUGUGACGAAGCGUGAGUGACGGUAAUGGGUAAAGAAGCACCGGCUAACUACGUG